AGUGAACGCUGGCGGUAGGCCUAACACAUGCAAGUCGAACGGCAGCACAGUAAGAGCUUGCUCUUACGGGUGGCGAGUGGCGGACGGGUGAGGAAUACAUCGGAAUCUACUUUUUCGUGGGGGAUAACGUAGGGAAACUUACGCUAAUACCGCAUACGACCUACGGGUGAAAGCAGGGGAUCUUCGGACCUUGCGCGAUUGAAUGAGCCGAUGUCGGAUUAGCUAGUUGGCGGGGUAAAGGCCCACCAAGGCGACGAUCCGUAGCUGGUCUGAGAGGAUGAUCAGCCACACGGGAACUGAGACACGGUCAAGACUCCUACGGGAGGCAGCAGUGGGGAAUAUUGGACAAUGGGCGCAAGCCUGAUCCAGCCAUACCGCGUGGGUGAAGAAGGCCUUCGGGUUGUAAAGCCCUUUUGUUGGGAAAGAAAAGCAGCAGGUUAAUACCCCGCUGUUCUGACGGUACCCAAAGAAUAAGCACCGGCUAACUUCGUG
rnacentral:rRNA from 1 species